rnacentral:rRNA from 1 species
AACGAACGCUGGCGGCAGGCUUAACACAUGCAAGUCGAGCGCAUCCUUCGGGGUGAGCGGCGGACGGGUGAGUAACGCGUGGGAACGUGCCCUCUUCUACGGAAUAGCCUCGGGAAACUGAGAGUAAUGCCGUAUACGCCCGCAAGGGGAAAGAUUUAUCGGAGGAGGAUCGGCCCGCGUUGGAUUAGGUAGUUGGUGGGGUAACGGCCUACCAAGCCGACGAUCCAUAGCUGGUUUGAGAGGAUGAUCAGCCACACUGGGACUGAGACACGGCCCAGACUCCUACGGGAGGCAGCAGUGGGGAAUCUUGGACAAUGGAGGCAACCCUGAUCCAGCCAUGCCGCGUGAUCGAUGAAGGCCUUAGGGUUGUAAAGAUCUUUCAGCUGGGAAGAUAAUGACGGUACCAGCAGAAGAAGCCCCGGCUAACUCCGUG